GAUACCGCCUCCUCUACCCCCGGCCCCCAAAACCCUUUUGUUUCCAAGAUGGCCUCCGAGUUCUGUUUUAAUACGCACGGAACAAAGCCAAUUGAACACCCUUAAGCUUAGGGGAAAGCGAGAAUUGUAGGGAAACGAAGGCACCAGGAGGUCGAGUAGUUGCCGGAAGCAUCGCAGCUAGUAAAUGAGGGAAACGGAGUCCAGCCCAGGCAGCCUAAGGAGAGCCUGCGCCAGGCUGCCGCUGUGCCACAUACUGCCUCCGAAAACACAGCAGGGAGUCCAUGAUGUCUUCUAAUUGCAGCACUUUUGGGGGGACGAGCGUCAAUGCAGCUUGGAAAUUCUUCCUUGUCAAUACCUAAACACACUCUCCCUUUUUGAAAAAGAGGCUGUAAAGCUGUUGCAGGGCUCUGCCAUGAUUUGUACAACCAGUCUCCUGCAGUGACUGGUGAGGCCGUUUCUGAUCCGGAGCUCCGACAGUCAGCAUACUGAAUCUGCUCGUGCCUUUUGUCGCACUGCUGCGCAGGCCCCUCUGAGCUCUCGUAUGUCACGUGUGUCAAGGAGGAAGGGAGCAGAGACUCUGGCCUGCCCUCCCCCAGCCAGCGAGGCAUUAUUACCGCUGGACUGUCCUCCAUAGGACUGUAGUCAGAAGACAGUCCGUUCGUGGAGGGGCAGCUCAGAAAAGGCAUCCGGACGGCAGCUCGACUGAUCACUGAGAUCGGGUAGCAGCAGCAAUGAAAGGACACUGUGAGCCUCCCCAAAUAUGCCCUGCCAGAUACGCCUCUGUCACCUUUCACAGCAGGACCUUCUGUGCCAGGGACUGGGCUGGUUCUGUGACUCCUGCCGCUGGAGGCACCGCCUGUGAUUCUGAGUGAUGUGGACCAACACAUAAGGAGUGAGCAGGAUGAUGGCAUUCUCCGAAGGCUACCGACCUAUGGCUGUUUCUCGUACGAAGGGACCUGAGCAACUUAAGUCAGCUCAGUUCUCACAUUCUCUUCCCUGAGAUGAAAGCUUUUGGGGAGGCUCCUUGAAAAGCCGACAGCCCGAUGUCUGCCUCUGCCUGGCUUUGUUUGGAGAUGGCUCGCUCCACUGUGGGCCCUGGGCGAGCCCCUCAGUGAUUUCCCUUCCGAAAGAGAGACGGACACUGGGAAGGCCCGAAUGCACUCUGCCUGGACUGACGAGAAACCUUUUUUUAUAUUGAGGCCAUUGUCUCAGCCCUCCUCACAACAAAAAUUCAUUGAAAGCCUUGGAUUCCCCCCCACCCCACCAACAUCAUGAAAAUUCUGAAACACACAGAAAACUUGAGAGAAUUUUGCAAUGAACACCCAUCUAUUUACCACUUAGACUCUAUCUACGAUGAACAUUUUGCUAGAUUGGCUUUCCUUACAGAAUAUUCUUCUAUCUCUCCAAGCCACUGAUGUUUGAGGCUUUUUAAAAAGCCUGGCCUAAAAAUUCAAUUCAUCUGCUUUUAAAACAGAACAGGAAACUUUAACGCCUUGUUUCACGAACACAGAAUAAUUUAGUUCCAUUCCAAAUGAGGCUGCCUAGAAGGAAGAGAGAGAGGAGGGAGAGGAAAAUGGAGAGGGGAAAUACAGCUGUGGGAAGGCAAAGAGGAGGUGAGAGGAGAAAGGGGACGAGGGGGUGCGGGUGGGCAGACACAGGAAAGGUCUCGGGGUGGCAGAUGAGCAGGGGCCAGGUCACUGGCAUGACUCAUGGCGAGCUGGGGUGUGCAGGUUGAGGACCCACUGGGCAGCUGUUUGUGUUAAGGAUGCCGCUGGCCUCCCCCUGCCCAGUGGGGACAGCUGCCUGCAGGCGUCCCAGGACAGUGCGGCUUGCAUCAUUGCUCCUCGAACACUUCCUGGCCCGGGGGGAUCCAGCUCCACAGACAGCCGUAAAAUGGAGCAGAGCCAGGAUCUGGACAACCAAACACCGGCAUUGAACCCCAGUUCUCUUGUUACUACCAACACGCAGGCCCUCGGGCAGGUCUUCUCAUCUGGAAAAUGGGCAUAUUAGGAAUAGAUGUCUCAUGGGGUUGGUAACCAGGUGAACUCAGGUGAAUGCAUGUGUAUAAUACUGGCUGAAGCAGACUCAACACCAGCUGUGUGACAGGCGUCGUGCUCAGUGGCUUGCAUGCUUUAUCUCUCCCCAUCCUUGUGAUGGCUCUAGGAGGUGGACAUUACUACGGGCCUCAUUUUAGAAAUGUGGAAACUGAAACUUGGGGAUGGUCAAGUCCCUUCGGCAGGCGGUGCCGCUGGUAAUGGUGGAGCCGGGCCGGGACCCCCCGGUUGCUGUGCUGCCCUCAGCACUGUGCCUGGUACUAACCCUGUACAAUGUGACGAAACAGGCCUGUCGCAGAGGGUUCUCACAAGGUCAAGGUGAGACAACCCAUGUGAAAGUGCUGAUACCCACCAGGUCCUUAAAAAUGUUUGCUAAGGGGCAUCCCACAUCGGCUCAGGUCAUUAUCUCACGGUUCAUGACAUGGAGCCCUGUAUCGGGCUCACUGCUGUCAGCGCAGAGCCCCCUUCAGAUCUUCUGUCCCCGUCUCUUUCUCUGCCCUCCCCCACUCACACACACUCUCUCAAAAAUAAAUAAACAUUUAAAAAUGUUUGCUGAGUGACUAACAUUCGUAGCAUUUGUUGGUGAGCACGACAAAUACUUGUCAUAUUCUUCAGCUGUUUUCUCUAGUCAUUCAUUCUAUAGAAGCUUCCCUCUGAUAGGGGUAACCAUGGUGGGACUCUCCCUAAUCCUGUUUUAUACAAAUGUCAGAUUUAACAAAUAAAUUACAAGCGAGUUGA